rnacentral:rRNA from 1 species
CCUACGGGAGGCAGCAGUGGGGAAUAUUGCACAAUGGGGGGAACCCUGAUGCAGCAACGCCGCGUGGGUGAAGAAGUACUUCGGUAUGUAAAGCCCUGUCAUCAGGGAAGAAAAUGACGGUAACUGACCAAGCAGCCCCGGCUAACUACGUGCCAACAGCCGCGGUAAUACGUAGGGGGCAAGCGUUCUCCGGAUUUACUGGGUGUAAAGGGAGCGUAGACGGCAAGGCAAGUCUGAGGUGAAAGCCCGUGGCUCAACCACGGGACUGCAUUGGAAACUGGGUUGCUGGAGUGCAGGAGGGGUAAGCGGAAUUCCUAGUGUAGCGGUGAAAUGCGUAGAUAUUAGGAGGAACACCGGUGGCGAAGGCGACUUACUGGACUGUAACUGACGUUGAGGCUCGAAGGCGUGGGGAGCAAACAGGAUUAGAUACCCCAGUAGUC